rnacentral:rRNA from 1 species
UACGUAGGGGGCAAGCGUUGUCCGGAAUCAUUGGGCGUAAAGCGCGCGUAGGCGGCCCGGUAAGUCCGCUGUAAAAGUCCAGGGCUCAACCCUGGAAAGCCGGUGGAUACUGUCGGGCUAGAGUCCGGAAGAGGCGAGUGGAAUUCCUGGUGUAGCGGUGAAAUGCGCAGAUAUCAGGAAGAACACCCGUGGCUAAGGCGGCUCGCUGGGACGUUACUGACGCUGAGACGCGAAAGCGUGGGGAGCAAACAGG